rnacentral:tRNA from 1 species
GGAGAGGUGCCUGAGUGGUUGAAAGGAGCCGCCUGCUAAGCGGUUGUUCCGUUAUAAGCGGAACCCUGGGUUCGAAUCCCAGCCUCUCCGCCA